rnacentral:lncRNA from 1 species
CAAGAGGGUAGGAGAGAAAAGUGAGGGGAGGAGCUGGCCGGGGAGACAGGAGAGCAGGGCAGUUUCACAGCCAGAUGAUGGGUGCAGCCCAGGACGGAGGCUGGAUUGGUAUCUGCACCAGAGUCGGGCAUUGUUUUGCAUGGAAAUCGUAGAAGGUUCUAAGACGUGGAACUAAGGGACUCCACAGUUGCCAACUAAAAAGACUGUGCAAGUCCUCUAUGAGACUCAUUCUUCCCAGGCUCCUGGAAAUGUCUCUCCCUGCUGGAUGCUUCUCUAGGCUACACAGCAUCCUCACCUUCUACAGAAGACGCACCAAGCCAAGACCAAAUGGGGGUAUGUGGGCUGCCGCGUUGAAAUGCUUCGAGAUACCUGUGCGUUUAAUGUUUCCUCUGUCUACACGGACCUGGGCAGCCCCCAGCUGGGAGAAUACCACACUGUGCUGGAGAACAUUCCUUCUACCUAGUGACUGCAACAUUGUUGCUUCAGUGUUUGGCUCAGCCAUUUCUCUCCAGGCAAAGUGAGUGUGUGUGCAUGAGGGGUGUGAGUGGAAUGUGCGUGUGUGGGCGGGUGUCUAAAUAUAACCGCACCAUAAUUUAUUCAGCUAUAUGGAGUAGUAGACUAGAAAGACAAACUGGUAUUUGCUUUAACUACCUGCUGCUUGUAAGCGCUGCCUCUGUAACUCAGGCGUAACUGUUACACAUUAAAAGAAAUUAAAAAAAAAAAAAAA